rnacentral:rRNA from 1 species
UACAGAGGGUGCGAGCGUUAAUCGGAGUUAUUGGGCGUAAAGGGCGCGUAGGCGGUUUAUCAAGUGAGAUGUGAAAUCCCUGGGCUUAACCUAGGAAUUGCAUUUUAGACUGGUAGGCUAGAGUACAGUAGAGGGUGGUGGAAUUUCCGGUGUAGCGGUGAAAUGCGUAGAGAUCGGAAGGAACAUCAGUGGCGAAGGCGACCACCUGGACUGACACUGACGCUGAGACGCGAAAGCGUGGGGAGCAAACAGG